rnacentral:rRNA from 1 species
CCUACGGGUGGCAGCAGUGAGGAAUAUUGGUCAAUGGACGCAAGUCUGAACCAGCCAUGCCGCGUGCAGGAAGACGGCUCUAUGAGUUGUAAACUGCUUUUGUACGAGGGUAAACGCAGAUACGCGUAUCUGUCUGAAAGUAUCGUACGAAUAAGGAUCGGCUAACUCCGUGCCAGCAGCCGCGUUAAUACGGAGGAUUCAAGCGUUAUCCGGAUUUAUUGGGUUUAAAGGGUGCGUAGGCGGUCGGAUAAGUUAGAGGUGAAAUCCCGAGGCUCAACUUCGGAAUUGCCUCUGAUACUGUUCGGCUAGAGAGUAGUUGCGGUAGGCGGAAUGUAUGGUGUAGCGGUGAAAUGCUUAGAGAUCAUACAGAACACCGAUUGCGAAGGCGGCUCUCUGGUCUGCAACUGACGCUGAGGCUCGAAAGCAUGGGUAGCGAACAGGAUUAGAUACCCGAGUAGUC